ACGGGUGAGUAAUACAUCGGAACGUAUCCUGGAGUGGGGGAUAGCCCGGCGAAAGCCGGAUUAAUACCGCAUACGCUCUGAGGAGGAAAGCGGGGGACCUUCGGGCCUCGCGCUCAAGGGGCGGCCGAUGGCGGAUUAGGUAGUUGGUGGGGUAAAGGCCUACCAAGCCGACGAUCCGUAGCUGGUCUGAGAGGACGACCAGCCACACUGGGACUGAGACACGGCCCAGACUCCUACGGGAGGCAGCAGUGGGGAAUUUUGGACAAUGGGGGCAACCCUGAUCCAGCAAUGCCGCGUGUGUGAAGAAGGCCUUCGGGUUGUAAAGCACUUUUGUCCGGAUAGAAAUCAUCGGGGCCAAUACCCCUGGUGGAUGACGGUACCGGAAGAAUAAGCACCGGCUAACUACGUGCCAGCAGCCGCGGUAAUACGUAGGGUGCGAGCGUUAAUCGGAAUUACUGGGCGUAAAGCGUGCGCAGGCGGUGCUGUAAGACCGAUGUGAAAUCCCCGGGCUUAACCUGGGAACUGCAUUGGUGACUGCAGCGCUGGAGUAUGGCAGAGGGGGGUGGAAUUCCACGU
rnacentral:rRNA from 1 species